AUUGAACGCUGGCGGAAUGCUUUACACAUGCAAGUCGAGCGGCAGCACGGGGGCAACUCUGGUGGCGAGCGGCGAACGGGUGAGUAAUGCAUCGGAACGUACCCCGUCGUGGGGGAUAACUGUCCGAAAGGACAGCUAAUACCGAAUGUAGUCCCGGCCCCCGAGAGCCGUGACGAACGGAAGCUUCGGCCUCCGCAUCGGGAGGGCCCCGCGGCCCAUUAGCUAGUUGGUGGGGUAACGGCCUACCAAGGCGCCGAUGGGUAGCUGGUCUGAGAGGACGAUCAGCCACACUGGGACUGAGACACGGCUCAGACUCCUACGGGAGGCAGCAGUGGGGAAUCUUGCGCAAUGCGCGAAAGCGUGACGCAGCAACGCCGCGUGCGGGAAGACGGCCUUCGGGUUGUAAACCGCUUUCAGUUGGGACGAAGCUUCGCCGGUGAAUAGCCGGCUGGAGUGACGGUACCUUCACAAGAAGCCCCGGCUAACUACGUGCCAGCAGCCGCCGUAACAC
rnacentral:rRNA from 1 species